rnacentral:rRNA from 1 species
AGUAACGCGUGAGGAACCUGCCUUCCAGAGGGGGGACAACAGUUGGAAACGACUGCUAAUACCGCAUGAUGCGUUGGAGCCGCAUGACUCCGACGUCAAAGAUUUAUCGCUGGAAGAUGGCCUCGCGUCUGAUUAGCUAGUUGGUGAGGUAACGGCCCACCAAGGCGACGAUCAGUAGCCGGACUGAGAGGUUGGCCGGCCACAUUGGGACUGAGAUACGGCCCAGACUCCUACGGGAGGCAGCAG